rnacentral:rRNA from 1 species
GGCGAACGCUGGCGGCGUGCCUAAUACAUGCAAGUCGAACGAACCGCGACUAGGUGCUUGCACUUGGUCAAGGUGAGUGGCGAACGGGUGAGUAACACGUGGGUAACCUACCUCAUAGUGGGGGAUAACAGUCGGAAACGACUGCUAAUACCGCAUAGGACAUAGGAUCACAUGAUCCAGUGAGGAAAGGUGGCGCAAGCUAUCGCUAAGAGAUGGACCCGCGGUGCAUUAGCUAGUUGGUAGGGUAAAGGCCUACCAAGGCGAUGAUGCAUAGCCGACCUGAGAGGGUGAUCGGCCACAUUGGGACUGAGACACGGCCCAAACUCCUACGGGAGGCAGCAGUGGGGAAUCUUCCGCAAUGGACGCAAGUCUGACGGAGCAACGCCGCGUGAGUGAAGAAGGUCUUCGGAUCGUAAAGCUCUGUUGUUAGAGAAGAACAGCGCAUAGAGUAACUGUUAUGCGUGUGACGGUAUCUAACCAGAAAGCCACGGCUAACUACGUG